AGAGUUUGAUCAUGGCUCAGAUUGAACGCUGGCGGCAUGCCUAACACAUGCAAGUCGAACAGUAACAGGCCGCAAGGUGCUGACGAGUGGCGGACGGGUGAGUAAUACGUAGGUAUCUGCCCUGUAGUGGGGGAUAACCCGGGGAAACUCGGGCUAAUACCGCAUACGCUCUUUUAUCGUUGAGAUAGGAGAGGAAAGCGAGGGACCGAAAGGCCUCGCGCUAGAGGAUGAGCCUACGCCCGAUUAGCUAGUUGGUAGGGUAAAGGCCUACCAAGGCGACGAUCGGUAGCUGGUCUGAGAGGAUGGCCAGCCACACUGGGACUGAGACACGGCCCAGACUCCUACGGGAGGCAGCAGUGGGGAAUAUUGGACAAUGGGGGAAACCCUGAUCCAGCGAUGCCGCGUGGGUGAAGAAGGCCUGCGGGUUGUAAAGCCCUUUCAGUGGGGAAGAAAAACGGGGUGUGAAAAGCGCUUCGUCUUGACGUUACCCACAGAAGAAGCACCGGCUAACUCCGUGCCAGCAGCCGCGGUAAUACGGAGGGUGCGAGCGUUAAUCGGAAUUACUGGGCGUAAAGGGCGCGUAGGCGGUUAGGUAAGUCGAGUGUGAAAGCCCUGGGCUUAACCUGGGAAUGGCAUUCGAGACUACCUAUCUAGAGUCUGGUAGAGGGAAGUGGAAUUUCCGGUGUAGCGGUGAAAUGUGUAGAUAUCGGAAGGAACACCAGUGGCGAAGGCGACUUCCUGGACCAAGACUGACGCUGAGGCGCGAAAGCGUGGGGAUCAAACAGGAUUAGAUACCCCCGUAGUCC
rnacentral:rRNA from 1 species